rnacentral:tRNA from 1 species
GGGGAUAUAGCUCAACUGGGAGAGCGCCGGCUUUGCAAGCCGGAGGUUACCGGUUCGAUCCCGGUUAUCUCCACCA